GACGAACGCUGGCGACGCGCUUAACACAUGCAAGUCGAACGGAAAGGCCUGCUUUCCCUUGUGGAUUGCGGGUACUCGAGUGGCGAACGGGUGAGUAACACGUGAGUGAUCUGCCCCCAACUUGGGUAUAAGCCUGGGAAACUGGGUCUAAUUCCCGAUAGGACUGCAGGGUGGUGCCUGUGGUGGAAAACGAUUUUCUAGUGGUUGGGGAUGAGCUCGCGGCCUAUCAGCUUGUUGGUGGGGUAAUGGCCUACCAAGGCGGCGACGGGUAGCCGGCCUGAGAGGGUGGACGGCCACAUUGGGACUGAGAUACGGCCCAGACUCCUACGGGAGGCAGCAGUGGGGAAUAUUGCACAAUGGGCGGAAGCCUGAUGCAGCGACGCCGCGUGGGGGAUGACGGCCUUCGGAUUGUAAACUCCUUUCGACCGCGAGGAAGCCACCUGGUUGGAAGGGUGGUGACGGUAGUGGUAGAAGAAGCACCGGCUAACUACGUG
rnacentral:rRNA from 1 species